AACGCGAAGAACCUUACCUACCCUUGACAUGGAUGGAAUCCCGGAGAGAUUUGGGAGUGCUCGAAAGAGAACCAUCACACAGGUGCUGCAUGGCUGUCGUCAGCUCGUGUCGUGAGAUGUUGGGUUAAGUCCCGCAACGAGCGCAACCCUUGUCAUUAGUUGCUACGCAAGAGCACUCUAAUGAGACUGCCGGUGACAAACCGGAGGAAGGUGGGGAUGACGUCAAGUCCUCAUGGCCCUUAUGGGUAGGGCUUCACACGUCAUACAAUGGUACAUACAGAGGGCCGCCAACCCGCGAGGGGGAGCUAAUCCCAGAAAGUGUAUCGUAGUCCGGAUUGUAGUCUGCAACUCGACUACAUGAAGUUGGAAUCGCUAGUAAUCGCGGAUCAGCAUGUCGCGGUGAAUACGUUCCCGGGCCUUGUACACACCG
rnacentral:rRNA from 1 species